AGACUGGGACUAUGCAACCGCAACGCCUAAAUUUUGUCAGGAUCGGAAGAUAGCAGCAAUACGGGAUGCUUGUAGUAGGCGUAGACCCCGGUCCCCG
rfam:Calothrix sp. HK-06 NIES-2101_Scaffold_89, whole genome shotgun sequence.